GUGCUCGCUUCGCUUUGGCAGCACAUAUACUAAAAUUGGAAUGAUACAGAGAUGAUUAGCAUGGCCCCUGCACAAGGAUGACAUGCAAAUUUGUGAAGUGUUCCUUAUUUUU